GCAUGGGGUGGGUAAUAGGGCAUGUGAUUUGAAUGAGUAUUCCCAGCCAUUUAAUAUAUUCACAAGUCAAACUAUAAAGUAUUUCUUUAAAAAAAUUAUAGUAUUUCACUGAAGUUUGAAUGUACUUUCUCUUGCCAAAAUAAUCAGAGUCUUUCAUUUUUCUAAUGAUAAAAAUGUGCUACAUGUGUAGGAAAAUUUCCCAAAUGAAAAAUAACAUUUUCUAUGGCAGCACAUACAGUGCUUGAAUUUUUCACCUUAGAUUUUAUUCUAGCCAGACCUAAACUCUGUCUUACUUGCAUAAUGAUAAUUCAUGUCGUCAAACCAAACGCACUGUUUGCUGCUCGUUUGUCCAGGAGCCAUCUUUUCCUAAAGUGAGCAAUAUUACGUGCAUUUUGUCUGGCUGGCCGAGGGCUCCUCCCUACAGCUUCUGCAGCCAUGGAAGAGUCUGGAAGGACAGUGUUCGCUUGUACAAGAAGAGGGAAGGAUAGGAUGAGAAAAGCAAAAUCUUGGAGAGUCUGUGGUCGGAAGAAGAAAGCUGAAGCUGGUUAGGAGGAAGGAGUGUGUGAGUGAAUUAGGAGCUGAAGCAGUAAAGUAGCUUUCCCUGUGACCCUGAUGUGUCGGGCAUUUCUGUCUUAGACUAAAAGCAUAAUAAAAAAGGCACUUUGUUUAGGUUAACAGAGCAUUAUAUAACUGGAAAGUUUUACAGUUUUAUAUAUAUAGUGAAUAGUUUGUAGAGGAUAAAAAGACUUCCCUUUGGUUUAUUAUUUGGGUAAAAUAAAAACCCACGAAUCAUUUAAGGAUGCAUUUCUUUUUCUUUUUUCUGCCUUUUUUUUUUUAAGACAAAAGCUUGAAGGCAUAAAAUGGAGUUAUUUUCAUCGGGAUAUCACCCUCGAUGCUGCUGCUUUACUACAUGUUCAUAGUCAAAAUUAUUUCAUGUUUCCCUUGAAUAACUACGAUCAGUUUGAAAACAGCUUUGUUAAUUAGUAAGAGAUGACGCAAUAUAUCACUGCAUCUUUAGGGCUCUGGCGCCAGCUAGUGGUAGGAGAGGGGAGCCGCCCUGUCGCUCUCAAAUCUGGGAAGGCGUCGGUCUUCUCGCGUCCCCUUAUCCCUCAUCCUCCUCAUUUUUUUUUUCCAUCAGCAUAAUGGGGGAAUCAUUGCAGUGUGGCCAGAGAGGAGCAGACGAGAUUAUAGAUGAAAGUAGAGAAAAACGGUGGGCAGGGGCAGGGAGAGGAAAGGCCAGACAAAUGCAAUCAUUUCUCCAAAGGAUUUGAGAAGAGAUCAUUUAUUUGAAAUAUUCCUGCCAUGUUGAUGGAGCAGCUCAAUCUUUUGCCAGUGAAUCUUUAGCGUUUUGUUUUUCAUUUGUAGAUAUGGUUGAACAUAUACUUAGGACACGUAAUAACUAUGGAACUUCAUCACAAACACAGCACUGAGGACAUGUUAAGGAGACAUGCAUACAAGGAGAAUGCCAGGUGAACGUGAAGACCAUCAUUUGCAAGCCAAGAGAGGCCUGGAGCAGAUCCUUCAGAGCCCUCAGAAGGGACCAACCCUGCUGGCACCUUGAUUUUGGACUUCCAGCCUCCAGAACUAAGAACUUGAUGUAUACCUCCUGACCUGUUCAUCUUGUAGCUGCCUCUUGACAGCACAUGUUGGCACCUUUAGAAAGAUCUAGAAAUCCACGUGUUGUACGUAAAUCUGGGGCUGUUGUUACUGCAGAUGUACCUUCCACAACUUGAUUUUCUGUGAUGUCAAUUAUUCAGAUAUAAGAGGCCGCCCUGUAGAGGAGGAAGGAGGAAGUUGGCUGUGAUUGACCUUGCUAGGUCAUCUUCCUAAUCUUUGUCCUUUCCUGCACCCCAAAUGGAAGAUAAAAGGCAAUGCAAGAUCAGCAUCCUCAGAGACAUCGUUUUGUUUGGGUUUCAUGGAUUGCAAUUGCCAGAGAUGCUUAGGCUGCCUCUAGAGGGAAGAUGAUUGAUUGUUAACCUAUGUGGUCCAACCAAAUGUCUUAGGGGUUAUUGAUAAUUAAAAUGGACAAUAGCGAUUUUCCAUUUCUUCUGGCCUUGGGUGCUGGCAUGUGGAAGUGGUAUUGAUACUCAUGACCAAAUAGGCACUUAUCGAUUUCAGUUUUCAUAAGUUGCCUACCAAAUGCAAACUAGUAACCCAGACGUGGGAGACCUAAUAUUCCAUUGUUAAUCUUUAGGUCCAUAAUUUUUAUUUCCUCUACUUGCCUCUUCUUCCUUCCUCUGCAUAAUGAGUUGGGCUUAUAUAAUUGCACCCAUUUACUCACUCAUUCGUUCAAUCAAUUAUUUGUUCCUAUUUUAUGCCAAGUAAUGAACAGAAGGUGUUGGGGAUGCAAAACCCAACUAAUUGGAAUUUCUAUGUUACAGGAGCUUAUGCUUUAGUGAAAUUAUAGACAAAUUAUUAUACAGUUUUAAUCCAGAAUAGUAAGUGCUAUGGGAGCAUGCACAGAGGAAACAACCCAAUCUUAAGGAAUCAGGAAGGUUUGCAGAGGACUGACAGGAAAAGUGGGCAGGUGAAGAAGAUGGGCAGUGAGAGGAGGAGUGGAAGCACUUUUGCUAGGGAAAAACAUGAAUAAAAGGGAUAAUUUUCUGCUCUUACCCCUGGGUGAUCUUUGCGUGGUACUGUCCAUCACAGUUGGGAGAGACGGCUCCUCAGAGCUGCUCCACACUGUUCACAGAGGAUGCCAUUCCAAGGAAACUGGGGAAUAGGGAAAGUCUUUAGCUUAUUCCUCUUUGAGGUUUGUUUGAGAUGCAGUUUCUUCAAUAUUUUGAGUCUAUGAAAACAUGUUGUAUACUUAAAUAUAUACCACAAAAAAUAAAAAAAAUUGCGAUUUAAA
rnacentral:lncRNA from 10 species